rfam:Echinostoma caproni strain Egypt genome assembly, scaffold: ECPE_scaffold0015309
GGCCUCGUAGCUCAGCUGGUAGAUCGUGCGCUUUACAAAGGCAUAGGCGGCGUCUAUGCGUGGGUUCUAAUCCCAUCGAGGCUA